UGUAUGUGGUAGGGCUGGGCCAGUCCGGCGGCUUGGCCACCGCCCAACGUCAUUUGUCGCCGCCGGCGUGGCGUCAAGUGACCAUUCGCCGUUAACCUGCUCCCUGUGAUCACACUGACGCAUUCGAUUCCGACCUUCUCGGUCUGGGCCGUUGGGGCAUUGCAAGCGCGGCAGUAGGCAGCGGAUCGGCGGAGGCGCCAUGUUCCCAUGCCGCAGCGAGCACUCAUGGUGUUUGCGGAAAUGCUGCAGCGGGGUUGGUGGUUGCUGUUUCCUCCCAAAAGGAUGGAGCAAGCUGCACAACUCAAGGCUCAGACCAUGUGAUACCUGAUAUGAAUGUCAUGCGAAGAUGCACCUGAGUACAUCUUCUCCAGCAGUGACUAGCCUCUACCGUAAGACUGCAUGUUCCUCCUGCUUCUCCUCCUCUGCCGCGGCUUCUCUGCGCUUAUUCUCAGUGAACCUUGGUCUUUUUGGGACUGGUAACUUUUCCUUGCCGUUUAGCAUCUUGAGAACAUCGGUUAUAGAUGGCCGGUCACUGGGCUCCAUUUGGGUGCACAAAAGUGCGAUAUCAGUGCCUCUUACUAUCUCUGUUAUCUCAGACUCGUCACAAGAUGAAGAGUUAAAUAAGUCCUUUAUCCGUUGAGCUUCUUUUACC